CCCUGUAAUUGGAAUGAGUACACUUUAAAUCCUUUAACAAGGACCUAUUGGAGGGCAAGUCUGGUGCCAGCAGCCGCGGUAACUCCAGCUCCAAUAGCGUAUAUUAAAGUUGUUGCGGUUAAAACGUUCGUAGUUGAACUUGUGCUUCAUACGGGUAGCACAACUAUAAUUGUAGUCUGUGCUGUACCUUAUGUAUGUAAGCGUAUUACCGGUGGAGUUCUUAUAUGUGCUAAAUACUUGUAUUUUGUUGCAUAUUCCUCCUAUUUAAACCUGCUUCAGUGCUCUUCAUCGAGUGUUGUUGUGGGCCGGUACAAUUACUUUGAACAAAUUAGAGUGCUUAAAGCAGGCUCCAAAUGCCUGAAUAUUUUGUGCAUGGAAUAAUGAAAUAAGACCUCUGUUCUACUUUCAUUGGUUUUUAGAACAAGAGGUAAUGAUUAAUAGAAGCAGUUUGGGGGCAUUAGUAUUACGACGCGAGAGGUGAAAUUCUUGGACCGUCGUAAGACUAACUUAAGCGAAAGCAUUUGCCAAAGAUGUUUUCAUUAAUCAAGAACGAAAGUUAGAGGUUCGAAGGCGAUCAGAUACCGCCCUAGUUCUAACCAUAAACGAUGCCAGCUAGCAAUUGGGUGUAGCUACUAUCAUGGCUCUCUCAGUCGCUUCCCGGGAAACCAAAGCUUUUGGGCUCCGGGGGAAGUAUGGUUGCAAAGCUGAAACUUAAAGGAAUUGACGGAAGGGCACCACCAGGAGUGGAGCCUGCGGCUUAAUUUGACUCA
rnacentral:rRNA from 1 species